rnacentral:rRNA from 1 species
GGUCCUAAGGUAGCGAAAUUCCUUGUCGGGUAAGUUCCGACCUGCACGAAUGGCGCAACGAUCUGGGCGCUGUCUCGACGAGGGGCACUGCGAAAUUGUGGUACCGGUGAAGACGCCGGUUGCCCGUGGUAAGACGGAAAGACCCCGUGCACCUUUACUACAGCUUAGUAGUGAAUGCUGGUGUGUUAUGCGCAGGAUAGGUGGGAGACUUUGAACCCGGCCUCUCGGGGUCGGGGGAGUCGUCGGUGAGAUACCACCCUUAGCAUUUCGGUGUUCUAACCUCGGCCUGUGAAUCCAGGCCAGGGACAUUGCUUGGUGGGUAGUUUGACUGGGGCGGUCGCCUCCCAAACUGUAACGGAGGCGCGCGAAGGUUCGCUCAGGCUGUUUGGAAAUCAGCCGUAGAGUGCAAAGGCAGAAGCGAGCUUGACUGCGAGACAGACACGUCGAGCAGAUGGGAAACCAGGCCUUAGUGAUCCGGUGGCUCCGCAUGGAAGGGCCAUCGCUCAACGGAUAAAAGGUACGCCGGGGAUAACAGGCUUAUCUUGGCCAAGAGUUCAUAUCGACGCCAAGGUUUGGCACCUCGAUGUCGGCUCAUCGCAUCCUGGAGCUGUAGCAGGUUCCAAGGGUUCGGCUGUUCGCCGAUUAAAGCGGUACGUGAGCUGGGUUUAGAACGUCGCGAGACAGUUCGGUCCCUAUCUACCAUGGGCGCAGGAGAUUUGAGGGGGGCUGUCCCUAGUACGAGAGGACCGGGAUGGACGAACCUCUAGUGUACCAGUUGUCGCGCCAGCGGCAGUGCUGGGUAGCUACGUUCGGAUGGGAGAAACGCUGAAAGCAUCUAAGCGUGAAACCCUCCCCAAGAUGAGAUCUCCCUGGAUCUUCGGAUCCCUGAAGGCUCCUGGAAGACUACCAGGUAUAUAGGCCAGGUGUGUAAGGCUUGCGAGAGCUUGAGCUUACUGGUACUAAUCAGCCGUGAGGCUUGACCUU